rnacentral:rRNA from 1 species
AGUUUGAUCCUGGCUCAGGACGAACGCUGGCGGCAUGCCUAACACAUGCAAGUCGAACGGACAUGGCGAGGAUAUAGCGAUAUAUUUUGAGCUAUGUUAGUGGCGAACGGGUGAGUAACACGUGAGCAACCUGCCCUUUACUACGGGAUAACGCUCGGAAACCAGGCGCUNAAUACGGUAUAAGACCACACUAUGGCAUCAUAGAGCGGUAAAAGCGAUUUAGCGGUAAAGGAUGGGCUCGCGUCCAAUUAGCUGGUUGGUAGGGUAACGGCCUACCAAGGCGACGUAUGUGUAGCCGACCUGAGAGGGUGAUCGGCCACACUGGAACUGAGACACCGUCCAGACUCCUACGGGAGGCAGCAGUGGGGAAUAUUGGGCAAUGGAGCGAAACUCUUACCCAGCAAUGCCGCGUGAGCGAAGAAGGUCUUCGGAUUGUAAAGCUCUUUGAU